UACGGGGGGUCCUAGCGUUGUUCGGAAUCACUGGGCGUAAAGCGUUUGUAGGUGGCUUUGUAAGUUGAAUGUGAAAGCCCAGGGCCUAACCCUGGAAGUGCAUUCAAUACUGCAGAGCUUGAGUAUGGGAGAGGAAAACGGAAUAGCUGGUGUAGUGGUGAAAUACGUAGAUAUCAGCUGGAACAUCGGUGGCGAAAGCGGUUUUCUGGCCUAAUACUGACACUGAAAAACGAAAGCGUGGGGAUCAAACAGG
rnacentral:rRNA from 1 species